GACGAACGCUGGCGGCGUGCCUAAUACAUGCAAGUCGAGCGAGCUUGCCUAGAUGAUUUUAGUGCUUGCACUAAAUGAAACUAGAUACAAGCGAGCGGCGGACGGGUGAGUAACACGUGGGUAACCUGCCCAAGAGACUGGGAUAACACCUGGAAACAGAUGCUAAUACCGGAUAACAACACUAGACACAUGUCUAGAGUUUAAAAGAUGGUUCUGCUAUCACUCUUGGAUGGACCUGCGGUGCAUUACCUAGUUGGUAAGGUAACGGCUUACCAAGGCAAUGAUGCAUAGACUAGUUGAGAGACUGAUCGACCACAUUGGGACUGAUACACGGCCCAAACUCCUACGGGAGGCAUCAGUAUGGAGUCUUCCACAAUGGACGCAAGUCUGAUGGAGCAACGCCUCGUGAGUGAAUAAGGGUUUCGGCUCGUAAAGCUCUGUUGGUAGUGAAGAAAGAUAGAGGUAGUAACUGGCCUUUAUUUGACGGUAAUUACCUAGAAAGUCACGGCUAACUACGUGCCAGCAGCCGCGGUAAUACGUAGGUGGCAAGCGUUGUCCGGAUUUAUUGGGCGUAAAGCGAGUGCCUGCGGUUCAAUAAGUCUGAUGUGAAAGCCUUCGGCUCAACCGGAGAAUUGCAUCACACACUGUUGAACUUGAGUGCACAACAGGAGAGUGGAACUC
rnacentral:rRNA from 1 species